CUUUCUUCUGAUUGGCCAUUGUGAUGACUUUGGUUUUACGAAACUCACUCUAAAAACGUGGGUCUUCGCUGAAAACGUCAGUUUACUCAUACGACUUGAAAUCUUGCAGUGGAAGUGCAAGAAAAAAUCAAACAAAACUCACUCAGUGGAUACUUGAAAAACUGCAGUUUUUAACACCUCAUGUAGCAACUCGGGCAACAGUAUCAAAUUUUGAAUUGGUUGUCAUCGAGUAAAGAUAGCAGGACCUGGCGGAAUAAACAGCAAGCCUAGAGGCUAAAGCAAUGAAGAACGUCGAACCAUAGUUGGCUUAGCAGUAUUUAUUUGGCACUUCCGGUCCUUGACCUUUCUGGCUGGCAGUGAGUUUUCGUUAAGUAGUUGACCAAGAAUAGCCUCAUGGGGAAAAUAUAAAACAACAUAGUUUGUUAUGUGAAUAUUUUAGUCUACAUACUGUAUGCUUUUACGCUAAUAAUUAAGGAGCAUAUCGUGACUUGUUCAUCUUAUGCUUAGGACUCUAUUCUAAUCUAUAGAUUCAGGCUGGAUAUGGCAUAACAUUUGUGCAUUCAUUAUCUAUUGUUUUCAUUUUAUCCCUUAAUGCUCUCGAGUAAUUUCUAAAAGAUCGCGUGAAAUAAUGAUAGCCACAGGUCAAAAAAUGAACCAUAGUUUCCGUGUGACUCUGAUCAAAACAUGACCGUACUA